AAUAUGGGUAUCUGCCUUUUGGUUUGGAAUAACACGGGGAAACUUGUGCUAAUACCGGAUAAGCCUUUACAGGGAAAGUUUUAACGCCAAAAGAUGAGCCCAUACUUGAUUAGCUAGUUGGUAAGGUAAUGGCUUACCAAGGCUACGAUCAAUAGCUGAUCUGAGAGGAUGAUCGGCCACAUUGGGACUGAGACACGGCCCAAACUCCUACGGGAGGCAGCAGUGGGGAAUCUUGCACAAUGGGGGAAACCUUGAUGCAGCGAUGCCGCGUGAGUGAAGAAGGCCUUUGGGUUGUAAAGCUCUUUCGUCGGGGAAGAAAAUGACUGUACCCGAAUAAGAAGGUCCGGCUAACUUCGUGCCAGCAGCCGCGGUAAUACGAAGGGACCUAGCGUAGUUCGGAAUUACUGGGCUUAAAGAGCUCGUAGGUGGUUAAGAAAGUUGGUGGUGAAAUCCCAAGGCUUAACCUUGGAACUGCCACCAAAACUUUUUGACUAGAGUAUGAUAGAGGUAAGUGGAAUUUCUAGUGUAGAGGUGAAAUUCGUAGAUAUUAGAAAGAACACCAAUUGCGAAGGCAACUUUCUGGGAUCAUUACUGACACUGAGGAGCGAAAGCAUGGGGUA
rnacentral:rRNA from 1 species